rnacentral:ncRNA from 1 species
GGAGGUUUUUCACCCCCUUUAUCGUUACUUAUACCUGCAUUUGCUUUUCCAUCCGCUCCAACAAGAGUCACCUCUCAUCUUCAACGCUGAUAAUGGAAUGCUCCCCUACCGAUCUUUUCGAUCUCACGGCUUCGGUAAACAGCUUAUGCCCGAUUAUUAUCCAUGCCCGACCCCUCGACCAGUGAGCUGUUACGCACUCUUUAAAUGAAUGGCUGCUUCCAAGCCAACAUCCUGGCUGUCGCUGCGGUCGGACUUCGUUAAUGCAACUUAGCUGCUAUUUGGGGACCUUAGCCGGUGAUCUGGAUUCUUCUCCUCUCGGACAUGGACCUUAGCACCCAUGCCCUCACUCCCGGGAUGUUGCUGAUGAGCAUUCGGAGUUUGGCCGGACUUGAUAGGCGGUGAAGAUGAGAGGUGACUCUUGUUGGAGCGGAUGGAAAAGCAAAUGCAGGUAUAAGUAACGAUAAAGGGGGUGAAAAACCUCCUCGCCGAAAGACCAAGGGUUCCUGAUCAACGCUAAUCGGAUCAGGGUUAGUCGGGACCUAAGGCUAAGCCGAAGGGCGAUGCCGAUGGAAGAACCGGUUAAUAUUCCGGUACUGCUUUGUGGAGUGAUGUGGAGACGGAGAAGUGACAGCUCGGCCAUCUGACGGAAUAGGUGGUUAAAGGGUGUAGACGUUGAUUGUUGUAGGCAAAUCCGCAACAAGAGUUGAACCUGACAGUAUG